CCUACGGGUGGCAGCAGUGGGGAAUAUUGGACAAUGGGCGAAAGCCUGAUCCAGCCAUGCCGCGUGUGUGAAGAAGGCCUUCGGGUUGUAAAGCACUUUCAGUGGGGAAGAAAGCCUUGGGGCUAAUACCCUCGAGGAAGGACAUCACCCACAGAAGAAGCACCGGCUAACUCCGUGCCAGCAGCCGCGGUAAUACGGAGGGUGCGAGCGUUAAUCGGAAUUACUGGGCGUAAAGCGCGCGUAGGCGGUCUGAUAAGCCGGUUGUGAAAGCCCCGGGCUCAACCUGGGAACGGCAUCCGGAACUGUCAGGCUAGAGUGCAGGAGAGGAAGGUAGAAUUCCCGGUGUAGCGGUGAAAUGCGUAGAGAUCGGGAGGAAUACCAGUGGCGUAGGCGGCCUUCUGGACUGACACUGACGCUGAGGUGCGAAAGCGUGGGUAGCAAACAGGAUUAGAUACCCCGGUAGUCC
rnacentral:rRNA from 1 species